GAGUGUAUAGCUCAAAUGGUAGUGCGCGUGCUCAGCAUGCAAGAGGUCCCGGGUUCGAUCCCCGGUACCUUCU
rnacentral:tRNA from 1 species